UACGUAGGGUGCAAGCGUUAAUCGGAAUUACUGGGCGUAAAGCGUGCGCAGGCGGUCAUGCAAGACAGAUGUGAAAUCCCCGGGCUCAACCUGGGAACUGCAUUUGUGACUGCAUGGCUGGAGUGCGGCAGAGGGGGAUGGAAUUCCGCGUGUAGCAGUGAAAUGCGUAGAUAUGCGGAGGAACACCGGUAGCGGAGCGGACGACCAUCCGCGGCGA
rnacentral:rRNA from 1 species